CGGCUUUUCCCCUCUGCCCACAGCCUGCUCUUCUGCCCCGGGGCGGCCCCAAGGAACUCUUGUUAGAGGAGAACCAGGCACUGGUGUGGGCUGGUUCCUUCCCCUCCCCGUUAAACGUUUACACCCAUUUCCAGCUCCCAGGUUGGACUGCAGCCCCCUUGCUUACCAGGCUCGUCCUGUGGGCCUGGGUCACCCCUUCGCCUGCUGGGCGGCUCUGUGGCUCGCGCUUCCCCUGAGGGGGGCAGGACCCAGGAGUCCUAGCCUGGGGCGCUCUCCCUUGGCCAGCACGCGGCGGGGGGGGGGGGUCAUUUCCGCUAACAAGGCUGUUAAUGAGCAUGUGCGUCCGCCCAAGGGCAGCGUGGCCCGUUUGCUGCAACCUGCAGGAUCUGGCUGCUCAACUCGGCUUUAGGGUCCCAGCAUCAGCUGUGAAGCCCCCGGCUCUGACUCAGUCUCCCCCCUUCCUGGGGUCCUUCGGGGACCUGGCACCCCCUCCUCCCCUGGCCUUGUCUGCUGAUGGCCGUGAAGUGCCCCCUGGGGCCCCUCAGUCCUCCACCGGCUACGUUGCACCCUCACCGUGCUCAUGGCCGGUGCAAGGAUGUCUUGCGCCCUAGGUGGAACUUCCACCUUGCGCCCUCCCCCCCACGCCCCCACCCUGAGGUGCCCCCCCUGCCCUGAGGUGCCCCCCCGUGGCAGCUCCCCCCUUCUACCCUGAGGCACCCCCCCUCCCACCCCAGCUCACCCCUGGCCCGCCUCCUCCCCGAGCCGUGGCGGCUUCACUCCUCCCACCUCCCAGGCUUGCACGCUGUGACGAACUGGGAAUGUUCUUGAUGUUUGCUCUGAAUACUGUGUUGGUGCCUCAGUGUCCCCAUGGCAGUUCUUAAGUAUCUGGCAGAGCAAAGGGCCAGUGCACCUAAAUGCCUGACACUCUGUCUCCUAGCAACUGAUGGCCUGGGCCCCUCUGCAAAGGUGCCAGCUGAAGGUGUUGGAGACAAAGGGAUCAGGUGACCUCCUGGCCCAGGAAAGGGGCUGAGCAGAGAGGAGGGGCUGGGAGGGGUUGUUAGUCUGGAGCUGGCUGGGGUCAAGGGUGGAGGGCAGACGUGGGGGGUCUGGCUCACUGCCCCCCAGAAUGGACCGGCCGAGGGGUCCGGUUCGCUGUAUCUACAAGCUCUGUUUUAGACCCUGUUCCUGUCAUCGAAUAAACCUCUGUUUUACUGGCUGGCUGAGAGUCACGUCUGACUGCAAAUGGGGGUGCAGGACCCUGUGGCCCCCCCAGGACCCCGCUGGGGCGACUCGCUGUGGGAAGCGCACGGAGGGGCAGAGGAUGCUGAAUGCUCCAAGGAGAGACCCAGGAGGUGAAGCCGUGUGAGCUGCUUGCCCUGCAGACAGUCUGCUCCAAGGGAGAGGAGGCUCCCCAAAGUCCUGCCUGGCUUGGUGGGGAGCAGUUCCAGAGCAUCGCCCGGUGACUCCGU